rnacentral:lncRNA from 10 species
UGGGGGGUGAGGUUCUGGGCUGGCUCUAGAAGUGAUGAUGAAAGCAGGCACAUGAGCCCUUGCUCCGGUCAUGAGGCUUAAGAAAAACUGUCUCCAUAGUAUUAAAGUGCAAGGUAAAGCAGCAAGUGCUGACGCAGAAGCUGCAGCAUAUUUUCCAGAAGAUCUAGCCAAGAUCAUUGAUGAAGGUGGAUACACUAAACAACAGAUUUUCAUGGUAAUGAAACAGCCUUAUAUUGGGAGAAGAUGCCAUCUAGGACUUUCAUAGCUCAGGAGGAGAAGUCAAUGUCUGGCUUCAAAGCUUCAAAGGACAGGGUGACUCUCUUGUUAGGGGCUAAUGCAGCUGAUGAAUUUCAAUGGAAGCCAAUGCUCAUUUACCACUGUGAAAAUCCCAGGGCCCUUAAGAAUUAUGCUAAAUCAACUAUGCCUAUGCUCUAUCAGUGGAACUACAAAGCCUAAAUGAUAGCUCAUCUGUUUACGUUAUGGUUGAAUGAAUAUUUUAAGCCCACUGUUGAGACUUACUGCUCAGAAAAAAAAAAGAUUACUUUCAAAAUAUUAUUGCUUAUUAACAAUGUAUCUAGUCACUCAAGAACUCUGAUGGAGAUGUACAAGGAGAUUAAUAUUGUUUCCAUGCCAACAAUGGAUGUUGUGUUAGUAGGGAUGGAUACAAUAUUAUGGAUCAAGGAGUUAUGGAUCAAGGAGUAAUUGUGACUUUCAAGUUUUAUUAUUUAAGAAAUAUGUUUGGUAAAGCUAUAGCUUCCACAG